rnacentral:rRNA from 1 species
GAUGAACGCUGGCGGCGUGCCUAAUACAUGCAAGUCGAGCGAACAGACGAGGAGCUUGCUCCUCUGACGUUAGCGGCGGACGGGUGAGUAACACGUGGAUAACCUACCUAUAAGACUGGGAUAACUUCGGGAAACCGGAGCUAAUACCGGAUAAUAUAUUGAACCGCAUGGUUCAAUAGUGAAAGACGGUUUUGCUGUCACUUAUAGAUGGAUCCGCGCCGCAUUAGCUAGUUGGUAAGGUAACGGCUUACCAAGGCGACGAUGCGUAGCCGACCUGAGAGGGUGAUCGGCCACACUGGAACUGAGCCACGGUCCAGACUCCUACGGGAGGCAGCAGUAGGGAAUCUUCCGCAAUGGGCGAAAGCCUGCCGGAGCAACGCCGCGUGAGUGAUGAAGGUCUUCGGAUCGUAAAACUCUGUUAUUAGGGAAGAACAAAUGUGUAAGUAACUAUGCACGUCUUGACGGUACCUAAUCAGAAAGCCACGGCUAACUACGUG